CAUUGAUCACCAUCUAUCUUCCUGGAAUGGACGAUGGCCAAAUUAGCAGGUUGCUAUGAUCACCGGGAAAGAAGGGAUUUUGUGCACCACAGCUGCCAAGCUUGGAGGAGGAUUUCCUGCCGGACAAAAGUGCCAAAACUCCGCUAGCAUGCUGGAAGCUACAUAGUGAAGAAGCCAAGAAGGCAAAGCAAUGGCCAAAAGUGGAGCCUUGAGGCGGCUAAAUGGCUUGUCGUAGCACCCUCCGGCAGCUGCGGUAGACUAUGCUAUACAGCACACUGCUGCCAUCUCGCAAGCGAUGCGCAGCAGAUGCAGGCACCGAAGAGCCGUUGCUCUAAUGCCUCCACCUGGGCCAGCAUGGCCAAAUCCACCCGCAGGGCAACAUCAGGGGACCACUGGUCCUCGUAGUCUGGAGGUGGGGCCCCACCAUGCUUCUCGGACACUUCCCGAUCAAGAGACCUGCACACUGCCAUUUGUCACAUGUUUCACGAAACCCCUCGUGCUCGAUGUCGCCCAAGCAAGUGUUUCACUUUGUUUUCGCCGCAAAAGGAGCGCAAAGUGUGCCAUGGACAGGCUGCACCGGCUGAUGCGCCGGUAGCGGACUUUGUCACUGCAAGUGGCUCCCGACGUCAGCACGAUGCGAGGAUCACCCACACAGUGCCCGAACACUGGAACUCGCAGAAUGGCAACACAUAGGUCGUAUAAGCUUGCCGUGACCCUCCCGAUUUCAAAAUCUUUGACAUGUGCCAAAUCAUGCUGAACUUGACAAUGAAACAACAUGGACUAUGUGUGAUGUGCAGUCAUC